AGCGGCGAACGGGUGAGUAACACGUUGGUACCUGCCCCUAAGUCAGGGAUAGCCCAGGGAAACCUGGAUUAAUACCGGAUAGUCUCUUCGGAGUAAAAAUUUAUUGCUUAGGGAGGGGCCUGCGUUCUAUCAGCUUGUUGGUAGUGUAAAAGACUACCAAGGCUAUGACGGAUAACUGGUCUGAGAGGAUGAUCAGUCACAAUGGAACUGAGACACGGUCCAUACUCCUACGGGAGGCAGCAGUGAGGAAUCUUCCACAAUGGGCGAAAGCCUGAUGGAGCGACGCCGCGUGAAGGAUGACGGUCUAACGACUGUAAACUUCUUUUCUGAGGGAGCAUAAUGAGAGUACCUCAGGAAUAAGGGACGGCUAAUCACGUGCCAGCAGCCGCGGUAAUACGUGAGUCCCAAGCGUUACUCGGAAUUACUGGGCGUAAAGCGUUUGUAGGUGGGUCAUUAAGUCAGAUAUGAAAGACCGGAGCUCAACUCCGUGUUUGUAUUUGAAACUGGUGAC
rnacentral:rRNA from 1 species